UACGGAGGGUGCAAGCGUUAUCCGGAUUCACUGGGUUUAAAGGGUGCGUAGGCGGAUAGGUAAGUCCGUGGUGAAAUCCUGCAGCUUAACUGCAGAACUGCCAUGGAUACUAUUUAUCUUGAAUGUCGUGGAGGUUAGCAGAAUAUGUCAUGUAGCGGUGAAAUGCUUGGAUAUGACAUAGAAUACCCAUUGCGAAGGCAGCUAACUACGCGAUAAUUGACGCUGAUGCACGAAAGCGUGGGGGAUCAAACAGG
rnacentral:rRNA from 1 species